UUCCACAAGACGACGACCAACUCCUUCGGGGCAUUUUUUCCUUCGCCUGAACCGCCCGAUCGCCGACCUCAUGAUAAUCGCUCGCCAACCGUCUCCACGCCCUCUUUGCAGCGUGAGAAAUGGCGUGCACUUCGUGAAUGCGAGAUCGAAGAGGGUGGGUGACGAAAGUGGGAGGAGACCCUCUUUCGAAGGGCUCAUAGUCGAUUCUCUCCCAUUUCCCUGUCCCACAACCAGUGUUCUGAGGGCAGGGCGCGUCCUCUCUUUCGCAUUCGAGCAUCCUUGGAUUGCUUUGAGGUCUCCCUCGCUCUUAGGGUUUACAUUUCUUCGUUGUUUGGCGGCUGUCAUGGCUGUUCUGGUCUGAUCUGUCGGUCAUUUGCAGUUGGAUUGCUUGUGGGACUGGUUGCUAGUGGAAUUGGAAGAUAAAUCUUGUUUUUUUCAAGUAGAGUUUUCGUUGUGGCGUGAUUAUGGGGUGCUAUUGCUGUUUUAAUUGAUUGUUUAUGGCACUGGUGCGACGUUCUUGUGGCAUUUUGGUAUGAGGGUUUUUGGGAGUUCUGGAGGUUACUUGGUCUGUGUCCCCGGUCGUUCAUACCAGCCAAUUAGGUGACUUUUCCUUCCAUUUGUCUUUGUACGAGUGUUGAGUCUUCUAUUUUUAGCUUUUGUCUUCGAAUUUCAUAACUACUCCUUGCAUUCAAGAUUAUGUGCAUGAAUAAAUGGUGGGGAUUAUUUACUAUUGGAUUUUUUUUGGCUCAGGGUAGAGAAUUUUGCUUUCCAAAUAUUUCAAAUUGAUGUCUAUGCUUUCUGUAAAACGAUGUCUUUUGCCCACCUGAGUUCCUGGGAUUGGUUUGCCUUGGGCGGAGUAGGGAAAAUUAAUUUUCGAUUGAAUGGGCCUUUAGGAAUCUGUAAGACCUAUUAAGGAUAUCUCAUAUCUUAAACUACUUGAUCCUUUUCUUGGCCAAAUUGGAGAAGAGUCCAUCCAUGUAGCCAUAGAGGGAUUGUAUUGGAAAUGAUAUGAUAUGUUGCUCUCGAUAUCUGGUCAUAGAUGUUUUCUUUUGACCAAUUAAUAGUUGGACUAUGAUCUCUAGCAUCUUAGAGUGCCAGGAUUAUGCCAUUCUCGUUUGGUUAGGUGGCUGUAGGCCUUGUCAACAAGACUCCUUAGGUUAGUACCAUACCUAAGGAUGACAGUGACACCCUUCACUGAAGCUCUACCAGGCAAUCCAAAGGUCGGGAGAAGAUCUUCAAGACGAAGUGUGCUCUGUGCCAUACCGUCGAGAAAGGCACUGGCCACAAGCGAGUUGGUGGUAUCUUGUUAUCCAAAAGGUGCAACAGACGGAUCAAAUGUGCCAAAGCCAGAAAGGAAAAUCAACCUCAGGGAGAAAAUGCUCUUGCUUGAUUUCUUUCGAAAGCAGAGUCAUGUUGACUUGUCAAUAUGAAUCAUCUGCAGAUUUUGCUGUCAAAGCUAAUAAUCUUUGCAGGUUAUUGUGCCAAUGACUUAAGUAAAGAGGAUUGGGAAUCUUAUUGUCCAUGCCGAGGUUUUGGAUUCAAUCAGCAGUUGUAAAUUGUAAUGAUGGAGGAUGUUGUAGAGAAUGUAAUAGCAUGAACCACCAGAUUUUAUUUGUAGCUCAAUUGCGCGGUGUUAUUUUUA